rnacentral:ncRNA from 2 species
AAAAAAAAAGCGCCAGGACAAUAGUAUAUUGUUGACGAGGUCAGAGCUUUAUCGAAAUUUUCGGCGGAUAGCUCUGUGGCAUAUGUUACUGCCAUAAAUAUUAGAUAAAAAAUAGUAGUAAUACUAUAACAAAACUAAUAGGG